CCCAGACCCUACCCUUUAAGAAACUUUUUGAGAGAGAAUACAAGUUGUAAGCCCUGCAAGGAAGAAUAAUUGUCUCUUAUGGGAUGGGAGAAUCUUAUACAGGUUGCAAAAUCUUUGGCACUGAAAUAGCUCCUGUAAUGUAAAAUUCCCAGCAAAGACCAUUUUUAUUAUUCUACUGUAGUCACUUGAAGCCAAGCCUAUGUGUUGUCCUGUCGCUGUCCCCAGAGAGCAGAGCUCAGCGCCUGCCCCUCCGCUCCCCUCGUGAGGGAGCUGCAGGCCGCCAUGAGGCCUCCCCUCAGCCUGCUCUGCUCUGGGCUGAACAAACCAAGGGACCUCAGCUGCUCCUCAUACAUCUUGCCCUCUAGACCCUUCACCUUCUUUAUAGCCCUCCUUUGGACACUCUAACAGUUUUAUGUCCUUCUUAUAUUGUGGCACUCAAAACUGCACACAGUGCUAGAGGUGAGGCCACACCAGCGCAGAGCGGGACAACUCCUUCCCUCAAUCAGCUACCAAUACUGUGCUUAAGUUAGGAAAGAAAAAAAAAUAUGCAAAUGUAUACUUAAUCACUGUUGGUAGCUAUUUCCUCUUGGAGCAUUCAUAUUAGGAAGAGCAAUUAACUCACGGCCUUGUGUUGUCAUGUGUACACGGGGGAGCGCAAGCCAUUUGGUUUCAGCAGCCCGCAGAGGACAGAAGCGCUUCUGCCCCUCCUGGAUGGUGGAAAAGAGCAAGCCCCAAGCCAGCCUCCUGCUGCUGGACCAAAUUCAGGGCAGCUUCAUGCCUCGGGGUGGCCUGGCCCUGUCUAGGGAGGGGACCAGCGUGGCACUGAGCAGCUGCGUCCCCACAGAGGGUCACCCAGGAAGCAUCGCACUGCUCAGUGUUACACGUCUGAUUUGUCCACCUGCUCCCCCUGCACGGUCUCGGAGGCUGAAGGAGAGGUAGGGACCCUGCUGGGGACCCAGCAGGAAUACUCAGUUUGCAACAAGUACCUAAAGAUAUGAGGUGAGGAGCAGAGGUGCUGGGCGAGAAGCUUGACAGUCUGAAGCUCUUCCCUGGAAAGUCUCAUUUCCAUGUCUAUCUGGACUUACUCAAUCGACCAAAUUUACUUCUUGUAGCACCAGUACCAGAAAUAGCCUGGACACUGAAAUGACGAGCUGGCAUCUCUCACACAGAAAAGCAAGCCAAACAGUUGGUAAUGCCAUUAUAACCAUUUUUUCUGACCCUCGCUGGCCUCUUGGCACUGCCUUCAUAAACUUAUGUCACGGCUUCAGCUCGGUCACCAAUGAUCUCAUUCUCUCAGGCAUCUGUCUGAACUACCAGAAGCUACAAAAAUAUCGAAGACAAAUUGCCUUUGGCAGGUAUCUUGUGGUUUCAAGUCAAGAUAAUCAGUGGUUAGGAACCUUGAUGCAAUUUGCGACAGGCUACUUUAAAGGCAUAAUCAUUUAGUUGAUGUAAUUAGCAAGAUUUCAGAAACUAGCACUGAAUGCAGCAAGAGGAAGUAAAAAUGGAUGACCAGGUUGGUGUGUUGUCUCCCAGAGACGCGGAAAAGGGAAAAUUGGCUUUCCCAGCAGACUGGCCAAAUCCCCCAUCUGUUACAACAAGUUUCAAGCUACUGCUUCACCUCCCCACUCCAGAGCCUUCAACUGAGAGUUCAGAGCUCAUUGCAUAUUUUCCUGUUUUUGCCUCAUUUUUUAGAACUCUUUCUC
ensembl:lncRNA